GUAACGGCGAGUGAAGCGGCAGAGCUCAAAUUUGAAAUCUGGCCCCUCCGGGGUCCGAGUUGUAAUUUGCAGAGGAUGCUUCGGGUGCGGCCCCUGUCUAAGUGCCCUGGAACGGGCCGUCAGAGAGGGUGAGAAUCCCCGUCUUGGGCAGAGUGCCCGUGCCCGUGUGAGGCUCCUUCGACGAGUCGAGUUGUUUGGGAAUGCAGCUCAAAAUGGGUUGGUUAAUUUCAUCUAAAGCUAAAUACCGGCCGGAGACCGAUAGCGCACAAGUAGAGUGAUCGAAAGAUGAAAAGCACUUUGAAAAGAGAGUUAAACAGCACGUGAAAUUGUUGAAAGGGAAGCGCUUGCAACCAGACUCGGCCUCGGGGUUCAGCCAGCAUUCGUGCUGGUGUACUUCCCCGGGGCCGGGCCAGCGUCGGUUUGGGCGGCCGGUCAAAGGCCCCAGGAAUGUAUCGUCCUCCGGGACGUCUUAUAGCCUGGGGUGCAAUGCGGCCAGCCUGGACCGAGGAACGCGCUUCGGCACGGACGCUGGCGUAAUGGUCGCAAACGACCCGUCUUGAAACACGGACCACAGGAGUCUUAACAUCUACGCGAGUGUUCGGGUGUCAAACCCGUACGCGCAGUGAAAGCGAACGGAGGUGGGAGCCCCCCCGGGGCGCACCAUCGACCGAUCCUGAUGUCUUCGGAUGGAUUUGAGUACGAGCGUAGCUGUGGGGACCCGAAAGAUGGUGAACUAUGCCUGAAUAGGGUGAAGCCAGAGGAAACUCUGGUGGAGGCUCGCAGCGGUUCUGACGUGCAAAUCGAUCGUCAAAUUUGGGUAUAGGGGCGAAA
rnacentral:rRNA from 1 species